rnacentral:rRNA from 1 species
UACGGGGGGGGCAAGCGUUGUUCGGAAUUACUGGGCGUAAAGGGCUCGUAGGUGGCCAACUAAGUCAGACGUGAAAUCCCUCGGCUUAACCGGGGAACUGCGUCUGAUACUGGAUGGCUUGAGUGUGGGAGAGGGAUGCGGAAUUCCAGGUGUAGCGGUGAAAUGCGUAGAUAUCUGGAGGAACACCGGUGGCGAAGGCGGCAUCCUGGACCAUUACUGACACUGGAUAGCGAAAGCCAGGGGAGCAAACGGG